rnacentral:lncRNA from 1 species
GUAGUUGGAGGGGACAGGGAAGGGAGAUGCCAGCGAGCAUCUCUAAUCCUCACCAGUGAGCUGUCUUUUAGAUGAUGGUCCUAGGUUUGCUGUCAAAAGGAUUCUACAAAGUGGACAGCUCCAGACAGAGUACUUCUUCUCUCCUGGUUCUGGAGACCAGAAGUCCAAAAUCAAGGUACUGGCAGGGUUGGCGCCUUCUGGGAUCUUUGAAGGAAAGUCCAUUUCAAAUCUCUUUCCUAGCUUCUGGUGGCUGCUGGCAGCCCCUUGGCGCCCCUCUUUUGUGGGCACAUUGUUUUAAUCUGCCCCGGCAGCACACAGUGCUCUCCUCUCUCUGUAUCUGUCUUUGUGUGCUUCUCACAAGGACAUCAGCAAUUGGAUUUGGAGCCUGAUCUGAUUUAGAGAGCUUUUUGAGGGGUUGCUAUUUAGACCUCUCUGCCUUCAGACCACUUCUCUCUCAGAUUCUGUUGUUUUUCUCAGGCCUCUCUUAGAAGGAAUGCUUCAUUUUUGCUCCCAAGGUCUCCAGUGACUUCCCCACGACCCACAGAAUAAAAUCCUGUCUCUCUAGUUCCACUUUAGGAGGCCCACCAUAGUCUGGUCCCAGCGAUGUUUUUGAUUUUGUGUGUCUAUGCCUCUACACAUACCCUCCAGGUCCAUGGGAAAGGUCUCCUGCAUUGUGGAAUUUGUUGUCUGUGUCACGGACUUGCUACUACCACUCUGUCUGCUUCUUAGAUGCUUUCCUUCAAUGCUGCCUGUGUCGUGUCUUUCUGAGGAGAACAUUUGUAAGCUGCUCUGAAUUGCAGACUUGGCUGUUGAUAUACUCUGCCCAGUUCCUCAUUUGGAGUGAUCCUCCAAAUGGGGUCUGCAUGUCACCCAGAGCCUGUUUGCUAUGCUUUCUUAGGCUUUUGGAUCUGGCCAGCCUUGAAUCAUAUGAAACUGGAAGCCAAGAGACACUGGCUGUAGUAGGGAAGUAUCUGUGUCGGGGAACCACUGUCUAUCCCCGUAUGGGCCUUAGCAACAUUAGUAGACAGACCAAAGAGAUGAGAGAGGAGGAAGAAGAGACUGAAGGACAUCAACACGUUUCAAUAGCAGCUCUGAUAGAGACCCUGGAAACCUGAAAACUUUAAAAUAACAAAGAGGGUUUUUUCCUUGCAGUGUUGAGAUCAAGCCCCGGGCCGUGGCCCAUGCUGAGCAAGAGUGGCACUGCUGGCCCGGUGGUGGCAGCGGCGGCGAACUGAUGGGUGACAAAGGGAAUCUUGAACCUCUGCCUCACAAAGACGAACAAAGCUGACUCAAGGCACCUGUGUUCAGGAAUCUGACUAAGCUAGAAAGGGCAAAGCGACCCACGAUGGGUCUUCUUCCCUUGUGGCCACUGGCAGCUUCUGAGAUCUACAGACUGGAUGAUUAAGAAAACUUGCCAAAAACGGAGACAGAAGCAGGAGUUAAAAGGAAAGGAAUUUGACAUUGAACCCGACAAAAGGAUUCUGAUAAGAACACUUGCGCAUGACUGCAGACAAAAAUUUCACGGAAUUUUCCAAAUCUACCUGACACCCCAUUGGCACUUGCCAGAAGCCCCGCUCAUAGGCAAAGCUGAAGAUGAUGCCCCCGAGACAGCACAAGAGGAGUUCAGUAAUAGAGAUGUGGCUGAGAUGUCUCUCCAGUGCCAGCUACACAAUUCUGCAUCAAGCAUUGGCAGUUGUGGGCUAUUGACUGCCCAUUUCCAACAACAGAUCUUUGUGAAAUAAGGUUUUCCAACUUUUUGGUUAUCAAGUCUAAAUGCAGAAGUAGACUUGUGGAAGAUGCUCUUGCUAUGACUGCCCUGAGAAUGUCUGAUGUGAGAAAGAAUCAAUCGCCACCUUCAUACUAAUGUUGGCUUUUUAUGCAUACUGUUUCAAAAUGUAGCAAUGUAGCUUACUGUUGUUAAAUUUGUUAACCAUGCUACCCAAUACUUCAAGACAAAAUUCCGUUUAUUUGUAAUUAGAAAUAGUCUCAGCCUGCUACGAACCCCAUCCUCUGCUCCUCGACAAUGAUCCUCCAGUCCCCACAUCCCAGCAUCAGCCUACACCGAACCCUGUUCUCUGCUUACCCACAACUCUAAGCUGAUCCUUUGGGCUGGAGCCUAGCAUGGCUGUCUUUUGAGAGGCUCCACCUAGCAGUUGACUCAGAUGCAGAAAUCCACAGCCAAAGAUUGGAUGGAGCUUGGAACUCUUUUAUGGAAGAGUUGGAGGAAGGAUUGAGGGCCCAGAAGGGGAUAGGAACUCCACAAGAAGACCAACAGUCAACUAACCUGGACCCUUGGGGGCUCUCAGAGACUGGACCACCAACAAAAGAGCAUUCAGUGGCUGGAUCUAACUGCCCCCUUUUGCCUGUACUAUGGACAGCUCUCAACCCACCCCUACCUGCCCUCGGGGGUUGGGGGUGAGUUGGCGCAGAGUCAAGGACAUGGACAGACCCCUGGUAACAGGCUGCGGUUGUAGACCAUGUAGCAGCUGCUCACAUUUUGUCCAGUCAGGAAACAGAUGGACGCUCAAUGUUUCAGUUACUGUUACUAAACAGAAACAGCUUAAGAGAGAAAGGGGUCACUUCCACUUGAAUUUCAAGGAUACAGGUAUGUCUAUGAGGGUGUCAAUGCCCUGGUACUGGAGUUGCAGACAGUUGUGAGUUGCUACGUGGGAGCUUGGAAUUAAACUCCAGUCCUCCGGAAGAACAGCUAGUAUUCUUUUCUUUUCCCAACAGAGUAGUUUUAUUGCUUAUUUGGGAAUUUGACGUAAUGCACCCUGAUCAUACUCACUUCCCAGGCUUUCCAGGUCCACCUCACCCUUGUAAGCCCCCCACUCCCCCCAAGUCCACAAGUUCAAUUUAUGUUGCUCAUAUACUCACUGGAGCGUGGUCAAAGUCCAAGUGGCCAACCCCUAAAAGAAAACUGAGUUCUUUCCCAUCCUCACUCUUGCCAGAAGCCCUCAGCUGUGCAGAGCCACACUUCAGUUUCCUGAGCACACUUUUAAGAGUUCUCUUCAAUGCGGCCAGUAGUGUAACCACUGAGCCAUCUCUUCAGCACCCCCAUUUUGGUUAUCAUUCCUCUAUCUCUCCCUUCAAACCCACACGUAUAUCCUCCCUUGCUCUCUUUCAGCUUCAUGACCUUUUUAUUUCAUUUUACGUUUCAUUGUUGUAUAUGUAUGUAUAUGUAUUUCUAAACGUACCCUGCUCAGUCUGUAAUAUUUGUUGUUCUGGGCAGCUCUUAUCCAAGAUAAGGAGAUCAGGACCAGCUCUUUAUGAAUUUUAAGUUUUUAUUGAGCCACACAGAGCUGUCCAGGGGGCACUCACCACUUUGACUGUCAUCCUGCAACAGAACCAGGAAUCGAUAUCAAGAACAACAAUAGAAACUACAUAACACAAGAAGACUUAACAGUACAUUAAAAAAAAAAAGAUUUAUUUUAUGUAUGUGAGU